rnacentral:rRNA from 1 species
CAUCUUUUCUUGUUAGUUUUUGAAGUAUGGCCUGCCCACUGACUUAGAGUUGAAGGGCCGCGGUAUUUUGACCGUGCAAAGGUAGCAUAAUCAUUAGUUCUUUAAUUGUGAUCUGGUAUGAAUGGCUUGACGAGACAUAAGCUGUCUUAGAAGUAUUGGUUUAUUGAAUUUGGUUUUUGAGUUAAAAUUCUUAAAUGUUUUUAUGGGACGAGAAGACCCUAUAGAGUUUGACAAUUUUCCUAUUUAUUCGUUGUUUGUUUUAUUUACAUUGAGUGGGAGUGAAUUGUUUUGUUGGGGUGAUGGGAGGAAUAUUGUUUAACUCCUCUUUAUUUUUAUAUAUUUAUGUAUAUAUUUUUGAUCCAUUUAUUUUGAUUAUAAGAUUAAAUUACCUUA